rnacentral:rRNA from 1 species
GGGACUUUGAAAAGAGAGUUAAAAGUGCCUGAAAUUGCUGAAAGGGAAGCGAAUGGAACCCAGUCUUCUUGGUGAGAUUGUUGCACGCUAUGGUGAUUGCUUGCUGCUUCAACGCAAGUGUUGCAGUGGGUUUUGAUCCUGACGUGUGCUUUGUUUCUUACCUCGUGUGUCAACGUCGGUUCGGAAUUGAGGAAAACUCUAGGGACAUGGUAACUCGCCUGCGGGUGAGCCAAUGUGCCUGGUAGAACUCAUUUCUUAACUGAUUUCUGCAUGUCUGGUCGCAGUGUUUCAUUACCUGUGUUCUGGUAUUGCGCUUGUGGCUCUUCUGCUGCUUGUUGCGUUGCUGGGCCUGGUCGUGGAGCAUCUCCCUGACAUUAGUACGAUGACAAAAUGGUUUCAUUCGACCCGUCUUGAAACACGGACCAAGGAGUCUAACAUAUGUGCAAGUUCAUGGGUGUUAAACCUAAUUGCGCAAUGAAAGUGACUGCUGGGAUAUUUGCACCAGCAACCGACCAAUCAAUUGUGAGAGGUUUGAGUAUGAGCAUAUCUGUUAGGACCCGAAAGAUGGUGAACUAUGCGUGAGAAGGGUGAAGUCAGGGGAAACUCUGAUGGAGGCUCGUAGCGAUACUGACGUGCAAAUCGUUCGUCAUACUUGCGUAUAGGGGCGAAAGACUAAUCGAACCAUCUAGUAGCUGGUUCCCUCCGAAGUUUCCCUCAGGAUAGCUGGAGUUGAACAGUUUUAUCAGGUAAAGCGAAUGAUUAGAGGAAUCGGGGACGCGUUGUCCUCGACCUAUUCUCAAACUUUAAAUGGGUAAGAUCCAGUGGUUACUUGGGUGAACUUCUGGGAUAAAUGACAACUCUAAGUGGGCCAUUUUUGGUAAGCAGAACUGGCGAUGAGGGAUGAACCUAACGUUGGGUUAAGGUGCUUAACUGCUCGCUCAUCAGAUACCAUAAAGGGUGUUGGUUCAUUUUAACAGCAGGACGGUGUCAUGAAGUCGAAUCCCCUAGGUUGG